rnacentral:rRNA from 1 species
AACGAACGCUGGCGGCGUGCCUAACACAUGCAAGUCGAACGGGAUUAGGGGCUUGCUCCUAAUCUAGUGGCGCACGGGUGAGUAACGCGUAGAUAAUCUGCCUGAUGAUCUGGGAUAACAGUUCGAAAGGACUGCUAAUACCGGAUAAGCCCACGGGUUCUUUGGAAUCUGCGGGAAAAGGGGGGGACCUUUUGGCCUUCUGUCAUCAGAUGAGUCUGCGUACCAUUAGCUAGUUGGUAGGGUAAAGGCCUACCAAGGCGACGAUGGUUAGCUGGUCUGAGAGGAUGAGCAGCCACACUGGAACUGAGACACGGUCCAGACUCCUACGGGAGGCAGCAGUGGGGAAUGUUGCGCAAUGGGCGAAAGCCUGACGCAGCAACGCCGCGUGAGUGAGGAAGGCUUUCGGGUCGUAAAGCUCUGUCAGGGGGAAAGAAAUGUAUUGUGGCUAAUAUCCACGAUACUUGACGGUACCCCCAAAGGAAGCACCGGCUAACUCCGUGCCAGCAGCCGCCGUAACAC